UCGUGGUGUGGGCCGCGGCGUGGGGCCUCGGGCUGGCGCUGCGCGGGCUGUCCGGCGACGGUCUGGCGGCGCCGUUCGUCGCCGUCUCCGCGGU
rnacentral:tRNA from 1 species